UACGUAGGGAGCAAGCGUUGUCCGGAAUCAUUGGGCGUAAAGCGCGCGUAGGCGGCCCUGUAAGUCCGUUGUGAAAGUCAAAGGCUCAACCUUUGAAAGCCGAUGGAUACUGCAGGGCUGGAGUCCGGAAGAGGCGAGUGGAAUUCCUGGUGUAGCGGUGGAAUGCGCAGAUAUCGGGAAGAACACCCGUGGCGAAGGCGGCUCUCUGGGACGGUACUGACGCUGAGACGCGAAAGCGUGGGGAGCGAACAGG
rnacentral:rRNA from 1 species